CCUCUCCCAGGCCACCCCAUAAAAAAUCUCUAUACAAUUUUUCAAUACGGUUGGCCACACCAACUGGUAAAGGGAAUAAAGACAGGAAGUAGGUAGGAAUAUUAGAGAUUCACUUUUAAUCCCGAGACGGCUUGAAAACAAAGCAGGAUAGCCCUCAAAAUUUGAAUUUGUUCCCCAACAGCCUCACAAAAAAUGAGGGUAUCAUCAGC